AAAUACACAAAAAAUUAUUUGAAAAUUCAUCGAUCGAUACUUAUUUUGGCCAAUCGAUGAUAAUAAUCACUCAUCAUCAUCAUCAUCAUUGUCGUCGUCGUCGUCGUUGUUGAUAAUAAUCAUCAACUGUAUUUUUUUUAUCCGUUCAAAAAGAUUUAUAUUGACAAACAUUAUGUAGAAAAAAAAUUGAUAAUGAAAUUCAUUUGUAACAGGUACUAUGACGACGAAGACGACAAAAUCAAUGAAUUUUUCGGGUUUUUCAUCAUUAUAAUUACAAAGAAAUUUGAAAAUUUUUUCGCCGUUGUAGCAGCAUCAGCAGCAACUGCAACAGCGUGUGACGCCCAAAAUAUUCAAAUUCUGUAAAAAUUUUUGCUUGAAUCUUUAUUUCAACAACAACGACAACAA